rnacentral:tRNA from 3 species
AGAGACUUAGGUUAGCACCAGACCAAGGGCCUUCAAAGCCCUAAGCGAGAGUGAAAAUCUCCCAGUCCCUG